AUGAGAAAAGAAUGUGGAAAUGGCCAAAUAAGGCACAAUGUUAUCUGGUGUGAACCAAUCAGGGUGGGACAUGACAGCACGGUUAUGUAGGUAAAAAUGUAUAUAAGCUGUGUUUAGUAGUGAAUAAAUGCCAUUUUGCUGCUCAUCAUAUUGGUGUGUGUCUGCAGUCAUUUGGCCCUGAUCAGGCUGUUGGUCAGUGAGCGCAGAGGCCUAACACAGGUGGCUAACAUCAUUGUUGCAGAAAGCAACACCAUAGUUAGAUUACAAGGAGACUCUUGUGCCAUUUGUGAAUGAGCUAGUUUGUCUAGAAACAAGAUUUGCUUCUAUCCUAAGACAACAGUUCAGAUGCCAAAAGCACAAAUGUCCUGUUACUGCUGUGCACUGGCCAAGUUGAUGUGUCUUACUGAAAUACUUAAUGCCAAAGUGCGUCUUCUAUUUCAGUUAUCAUGUUGAAAAUUAAUUAAGACACCAUCAACAAAUUCAUCACAUCAUUUAUGCAUGACAUUAGUGUAUUUUGAUUCAUAGAUUUUGGUUUCCCUGUACAAUAAGCAGAGUCAAAACUCUUGAUGCUCAUAGAUUUCGUGUUGUCACUCACAUCUGCAGAGAGGGCAUAUUGAAGUUAUAGUAUAAUGAGGUAUAACUGGCUGGAGAAAGUUGACAGCUGUGUCCUGCUGGCUGCACAUCAGUUUGUGAGGGUGGAAAGUGCUCCGUAAUUCACAGGAACAACCUUUAAUAUACUGUACAUGGAUAUCCUGGAUACUACUGAGGACUAGAAGGAGGGAAUAAAACAUUACAAAGAGGAUCUUUCUCUACUGAAGAAAAAAGAGUUCCAGUGAGCCUGAAUAACAUGUUUCAGGGUCCAUGUUGCUAGGCAUGCAUCAAGUAGAGGUGGAGACAGGAAAGAUAGUUUUGGAGCAAUGUGGUGAAAAGAAUAGCAUCUACCUAGCAAAUGUCAGCUUUAAGCAGGCCUGCAAAAAAGACCUUGAAGUCUGGGCUUACUGCCAGCCUUCUGCGACCUCUACACCAACUUUUUUUUUUUUUUAAGGAGAAGAAACAAUGGAUUUUCUUUCUCUUUUAAAACACUUUAGCAAGAGAUUACAUUCCAUCGUGUUUCCCUUUUUAAGACUUCAAAUGUAUUGGGCCCUUAUUAAGUCUGCCACUCUACCCUGUAGAGCUGUAUUUAUAUAUAAUAAAUGAAAAACACUGGUGGAAACACCUAUU
rnacentral:lncRNA from 7 species